rnacentral:snRNA from 1 species
AUGCUCACUUCGGCAGCACACAUACUAAAAUUGGAAAGAUACAGAGAAGACUGAACCCUUGAACAAGGAUGACACACUUCUAGGGUAGCAGAGACCUGAAGGA